GCGGACGUGGCGAAACUGGUAGACGCAAGGGACUUAAAAUCCCUCGGUUAACACCGUACGGGUUCGAUCCCCGUCGUCCGCACCA
rnacentral:tRNA from 1 species